rnacentral:rRNA from 1 species
AUUGAACGCUGGCGGCAUGCCUUACACAUGCAAGUCGAACGGCAGCACGGGGGGUAACCCCUGGUGGCGAGUGGCGAACGGGUGAGUAAUAUAUCGGAACGUGUCCUGUAGCGGGGGAUAACCUAUCGAAAGAUGGACUAAUACCGCAUACGACCUACGUGUGACAGCGGAGGCCCGCAAGGCUUCGCACUAUAGGAGCGGCCGAUAUCGGAUUAGCUAGUUGGCGGGGUAACGGCCCACCAAGGCAACGAUCCGUAGCUGGUCUGAGAGGACGAUCAGCCACACUGGAACUGAGACACGGUCCAGACUCCUACGGGAGGCAGCAGUGGGGAAUUUUGGACAAUGGGCGCAAGCCUGAUCCAGCCAUGCCGCGUGAGUGAAGAAGGCCUUCGGGUUGUAAAGCUCUUUCGGCGGGGACGAAACGGUUCGUGCUAAUACCACGGACUACUGACGGUACCCGAAGAAGAAGCACCGGCUAACUACGUG